GCUCUGUUGUUAGGGAAGAACAAGUGCGAGAGUAACUGCUCGCACCAUGACGGUACCUAACCAGAAAGCCACGGCUAACUACGUGCCAGCAGCCGCGGUAAUACGUAGGUGGCAAGCGUUGUCCGGAAUUAUUGGGCGUAAAGGGCUCGCAGGCGGUUUCUUAAGUCUGAUGUGAAAGCCCCCGGCUCAACCGGGGAGGGUCAUUGGAAACUGGGAAACUUGAGUGCAGAAGAGGAGAGUGGAAUUCCACGUGUAGCGGUGAAAUG
rnacentral:rRNA from 1 species